UACGUAGGGGGCAAGCGUUGUCCGGAAUCAUUGGGCGUAAAGCGCGUGUAGGCGGCCCGGUAAGUCCGCUGUGAAAGUCGGGGGCUCAACCCUCGAAUGCCGGUGGAUACUGUCGGGCUAGAGUGCGGAAGAGGCGAGUGGAAUUCCCGGUGUAGCGGUGGAAUGCGUAGAUAUCGGGAAGAACACCGGUGGCGAAGGCGGCUCGCUGGGCCAUUGCUGACGCUGAGGCGCGAAAGCGUGGGGAGCAAACAGG
rnacentral:rRNA from 1 species